rnacentral:rRNA from 1 species
UACAGAGGGUGCGAGCGUUAAUCGGAAUUACUGGGCGUAAAGCGCGCGUAGGCGGCUUUGCAAGUCGGGUGUGAAAUCCCCAGGCUUAACCUGGGAACUGCAUUCGAGACUGCAUUGCUAGAGUAUGGGAGAGGGAAGUGGAAUUUCCGGUGUAGCGGUGAAAUGCGUAGAUAUCGGAAGGAACAUCAGUGGCGAAAGCGACUUCCUGGACCGGUAUUGACGCUGAGGCGCGAAAGCCAGGGGAGCAAACGGG